GAUGAACGCUGGCGGCGUGCCUAAUACAUGCAAGUCGAGCGAACAGACGAGGAGCUUGCUCCUCUGACGUUAGCGGCGGACGGGUGAGUAACACGUGGAUAACCUACCUAUAAUACUGGGAUAUCUUCGGGACACCGGAUCUAAUAUCGUAUAAUCUACUGAACCGCAUGGUUCAAUAGUAAAAGUCGGUUUUGCUGUAACUUCUAGAUGGAUCUCCGCUGCAUUAGCUAGUUGUGAAGGUAACGGGUUACCAAGGCAACGAUGCGUAGCCGACCGGUGAGAGUGAUAGGCCACCCGGGAGCGGGAACAGGGUCAAUACUCCUACGGGAGGCAGCAGUAGGGUAUCGUCCGCAAUAGGCGAAAACCUGACGGAGCAGCCGGGCGUGAGUUGUGGAAGUGUUGGGAGCGUAAAACUCUGUUAUUAGGGAAGAACAAAUGUGGAAGUAAAUAUGGACGGCUUGACGGUAACUAGUCAGAAAGCCACGGCUAACUACGUG
rnacentral:rRNA from 1 species